UACGAAGGGGGCUAGCGUUGCUCGGAAUCACUGGGCGUAAAGGGUGCGUAGGCGGGUCUUUAAGUCAGGGGUGAAAUCCUGGAGCUCAACUCCAGAACUGCCUUUGAUACUGAGGAUCUUGAGUUCGGGAGAGGUGAGUGGAACUGCGAGUGUAGAGGUGAAAUUCGUAGAUAUUCGCAAGAACACCCGUGGCGAAGGCGACUCUCUGGGACGGUACUGACGCUGAGACGCGAAAGCGUGGGGAGCAAACAGG
rnacentral:rRNA from 1 species